CGUAAAGGUGCAUGAGUGGUGUUUGGUUUGUUACGGGUGGUUGGCUCUUUGCUUGUGCAACAACUUCCACCUGGCAUACCUCUUCAGUCUUACGUCAAUGCUUGUAUUGCAUUGAUGCAUGGUGGGUUUCUUGUGUUGCAUGCCUAACCGAUGGCAUCUAAUGAAGAACUGACGUUCUUUUUCGUCUUGUGUCACUCACGUGAUUUGAGAUGAACCUUGAAGCAUGCUUUGUGUUCCACUUUUUCGAUGUAUACACAUUGGUAUUGUGGCCCAUUGAGUACUGCUCGGUCUCAUGGAUAUAGUAUUUGAUGUGGGCAUGAGAUAUUUAGUAGCUCCUUGUUUGCCCUAUUUUAGCUUUUAUAGCACGAUUGUCU
rnacentral:misc_RNA from 1 species